CUACGGGCCGCUGCAGUGGGGAAUAUUGCACAAUGGGCGCAAGCCUGAUGCAGCCAUGCCGCGUGUAUGAAGAAGGCCUUCGGGUUGUAAAGUACUUUCAGCGGGGAGGAAGGGAGUAAAGUUAAUACCUUUGCUCAUUGACGUUACCCGCAGAAGAAGCACCGGCUAACUCCGUGCCAGCAGCCGCGGUAAUACGGAGGGUGCAAGCGUUAAUCGGAAUUACUGGGCGUAAAGCGCACGCAGGCGGUUUGUUAAGUCAGAUGUGAAAUCCCCGGGCUCAACCUGGGAACUGCAUCUGAUACUGGCAAGCUUGAGUCUCGUAGAGGGGGGUAGAAUUCCAGGUGUAGCGGUGAAAUGCGUAGAGAUCUGGAGGAAUACCGGUGGCGAAGGCGGCCCCCUGGACGAAGACUGACGCUCAGGUGCGAAAGCGUGGGGAGCAAAUAGGAUUAGUACCCUUGUAGUC
rnacentral:rRNA from 1 species